ensembl:lncRNA
CAGAAAAGGAAAUAUAAAUGGCUUCAAACAUACGAAGAGAUACUCAACUUUACUCUGUAAGUGGCACACAACUAGCCUUGCUGAAAGACGAAAUGAGUAAAUAAUUGACCACAGAUUCAACAAGUCUUUGGUAUGGGGAGAAAACAGGCUGUGAACUCAACCGUGGAACCAGAACCAACCCGUAGGAUUCCCAAAGGAAAUAGUUUUCCAGAUAGGAUGUCCUAACCCACCCAGCCAAGGAUGGAUUAAAGUGAAAGUGAAGUCACUCAGUCAUGUCUGACUCUUUGCGACCCCAUGGACAGUAGCCUGCACCAGGCUCCUCCGUCCAUGGGAUUUUCUAGGCAAGAGUACUGGAGUGGGUUGCCAUUUCCUUCUCCAGGGAAUCUUCCGGACCCAGGGAUCAAACCCAGGUCUCCCGCAUUGCAGGCAGACGCUUUACCGUCUGAGCCACCAGGGAAGUCCCAAGGAUGGAUUGCUGUUUGCAAAACCAGUGGGCUAGUGGCUUCUUUGUGCAAAUUUAACACAUGGCCACAGGAGAAGGAUUCGGACUUUUGGUGUUGUUUUAUCUGGGACUGGGGAGGGAAGGGACUGGCUGAGUGGGCAUACAGA